GGGGAUAUAGCUCAGCUGGUUAGAGCGCCUGCAUGGCAUGCAGGAGGUCGCGGGUUCGAAUCCCACUAUCUCCACCA
rnacentral:tRNA from 1 species